rnacentral:rRNA from 1 species
GGGCCCGCACAAGCAGCGGAGCAUGUGGUUUAAUUCGAAGCAACGCGAAGAACCUUACCAAGGCUUGACAUCCCCUGACGGUCGUGGAAACACGGCUUCCCUUCGGGGCAGGGAGACAGGUGGUGCAUGGUUGUCGUCAGCUCGUGUCGUGAGAUGUUGGGUUAAGUCCCGCAACGAGCGCAACCCUUACACUUAGUUACCAGCGGGUAAAGCCGGGGACUCUAGGUGGACUGCCGGGGACAACUCGGAGGAAGGUGGGGACGACGUCAAAUCAUCAUGCCCCUUAUGUCUUGGGCUACACACGUGCUACAAUGGCUACUACAAAGGGAUACGAGACCGUAAGGUGGAGUCAAACCCAAAAAAGUAGUCCCAGUUCGGAUUGUGGGCUGCAACCCGCCCACAUGAAGUCGGAGUUGCUAGUAAUCGCGAAUCAGCAUGUCGCGGUGAAUGCGUUCCCGGGCCUU